rnacentral:rRNA from 1 species
UACGGAGGGUGCAAGCGUUAUCCGGAUUCACUGGGUUUAAAGGGUGCGUAGGAGGGCAGGUAAGUCAGUGGUGAAAUCUCCGAGCUUAACUCGGAAACUGCCGUUGAUACUAUCUUUCUUGAAUACCGUGGAGGUGAGCGGAAUAUGUCAUGUAGCGGUGAAAUGCGUAGAUAUCGAGAGGAACACCUGCGGCGAAGGCGGGUUGCUGGGCUGACACUGACGCUGAGGCGCGAAAGCUAGGGGAGCGAACGGG